UACAGAGGGGGCGAGCGUUGUUCGGAAUUACUGGGCGUAAAGGGCGCGUAGGCGGCCUGCUAAGUCGAACGUGAAAUCCCCGGGCUCAACCCGGGAACUGCGUCCGAUACUGGUGGGCUUGAAUCCGGGAGAGGGAUGUGGAAUUCCAGGUGUAGCGGUGAAAUGCGUAGAUAUCUGGAGGAACACCGGUGGCGAAGGCGGCAUCCUGGACCGGUAUUGACGCUGAGGCGCGGAAGCCAGGGGAGCAAACGGG
rnacentral:rRNA from 1 species